rnacentral:rRNA from 1 species
GUAAGGAAUAUUGGUCAAUGGACGAAAGUCUGAACCAGCCAUGCCGCGUGAAGGAUGAAGGCCCUCUGGGUUGUAAACUUCUUUUAUCUGGGACGAAAAAAGGGUAUUCUUACUCACUUGACGGUACCAGAGGAAUAAGCACCGGCUAACUCCGUGCCAGCAGCCGCGGUAAUACGGAGGGUGCAAGCGUUAUCCGGAUUCACUGGGUUUAAAGGGUGCGUAGGUGGGUAUUUAAGUCAGUGGUGAAAUCUCCGAGCUUAACUCGGAAACUGCCAUUGAUACUAUUUACCUUGAAUGCCCUGGAGGUAAGCGGAAUAUGUCAUGUAGCGGUGAAAUGCUUAGAUAUGACAUAGAACACCAAUUGCGAAGGCAGCUUACUACGGGGUGAUUGACACUGAGGCACGAAAGCGUGGGGAUCGAACAGGAUUAGAAACCCCUGUAGUCC